GCGCCCGGCGCCCAGCCCGCUGCCGCGGCUCGGCGCGGCCCCCCAGCCAGCGCCCCCACCCGGAGCCGAUUACCUGCAAUGAUGAAAUGAAGUAACUCAAGAUGAGCAAGUUAAAAGUGGUAUCAGAGAAAAGCCUUACCAAUAAUUCUCGGAUUGUGGGACUCCUGGCUCAGCUGGAGAAGAUAAACACUGAAUCAGCAGAAUCAGAUACUGCCAGAUAUGUCACAUCAAAGAUUCCUCAUCUUGCUGAAAGUCAAGGAACCACUGGAAUUAGCCAGCUCUCAUCACAAAGGAAACUGAUAUAAUACUCAGGAAUGCCAAGGAGUUUGGAGACAAGAAGGAAGACAGGCAGACUUAGACAGUGAAAGAGAGAUACAGAGAGAAAUGUCUUCCUUCUGUUGGUUCACCCCCCAAAUGGCCACUACAACCGGCGCGCUGUGCCGGUCCAAAGCCACGAGACAUGUGCUUCCUACAGGUCUCCCAUGCCGGUGCAGGGCCCAGCACUUGGGCUAUCCUCACUGCCUUCCCGGGCCACAGCAGAGACUGACUGAAAAAGCAGCAAGUGGGACAGAAUCUGACGCCUCAACCGGGACUAGAACCUGGAGUACCAGCACCACAGGUGAAGGAUUAGCCUAGUGAGCCGUGGUGUGACCUUAAACUUAAUGAUUUCAUACUGUUCUCCCUCCUCCUCCUUUCAUAAUGUUCUAAGUAUUAAAUGGAAAACUAUACAGAAAUCACAAAUUUGUUCCACAACACUAAACUAUGGCACACAGUACUUAAUUUCUCUAUAUGAAAUCUGGCUCAAAGCCUCAAUUUUAACAGUUGGGAAAAUAUCCAAUAUGAGUGACUCUUGGGACCUUUUGUAUACUUAGCUUAGUAUCCAAUGUCAAAAAAGAUACUAUGGUUGGCCAAUGCAGUGUUUUGUUGCAGCUCCCAAGACAAUGGAGCCUGAACAUUAGUCAUCUCAGCAAAUAUCAUUUCAUUCCUCAGGAACCGCUACUGCCUCCUGGAUGACUUCCACACCAGACCCAUCCACUUAGAACCUGUCUUUACAAUGUACUGUUAGGCAGCUCUCCAACUUUCAACCCCUUACCUCUUCUUCUUCAACCUCAUCUUCUCUUCCUAGGAACACCUAGAUGAAUGCCACUCCUACAUGAGAAUUUGGAUAGCACUGUACAAAAGAUGUGUUGAAGCUGGUUUUGGUCAGGAAACAUGAAAACUGUUAAUAGCUCCUGAGACCAAGAACCCAGAACUCCUCGGAAGACAAGCGUGAAAAGUUAUAUUCUUUCCUUUUGGAGUUCCUUCAGGCAGGAAAGUGUAAUCAAUAGCUCAGUGAAUUAUCCUGCGACAAUUGAAGAGUACCUAAAGCUGAGAAAGUUGGAUAAGCAAGAUCAAUUUCCCUGUCAUUGUUGUCAACAAAACCUCCCACCCACUAUGAAGCUUCCAUCACAAUCAAGAGGGGAUACUUGCUGCCACCUCCUUUCGGACACUACACUUAAUAGAAGGCCCAUGAGUGACAAACUUUCUUACUGCCUCAUCUGGUAUUUCUCUGAAUGGAAGAAUAUGAUGACUAACUGGUAAUUACAGUAUAUGCAAAAGUGAAAUGAAUGAAAGCAAUGUGAUAAAGAAUAGGAGGGAGGAAUUGGGAAGAUUUUAUCAUAAGAUAUCUAAACUACCUGUAAAAUUUUAGUUAUUCAAAAAUGGACUUAGAUGACUUGUGAGUGCAUAUUACAAUCUCUAAUGCAGGCACUGAAUUAUUUUGGAAGAAAUGUUAUUCGUAAGCUGGGAAAGGAGAAAAGAUUGAAUCAGAUGAAAUUUUUAUUUAAAAUACUAUGAGAUCAAAAAAGAGGAAGAGAGUAGCACAAAACAGAAAACAAUGAACAAAUGGCAAUAGAAAAUUCUUAUGUAUUGAUAAUUAUUUUAAAUGUAAGUGGAUUAAGUUUUUCCAUAAGAAUAGAGUGGCUGAAUGAAUAAAAUAGUAAUAUCCAACUUAAUGAAUGUAAGAGACUCACUGUAGCUUUAAGGGCAAACCUAGGCUGAAAGUGAAAAGUUGUAAAAAAAAUAUUCCAUGAAACCAGUAACCAAAGGAGAACACAUGUAGUUAUAUCAGACAAAAUAAGCUUUACUGCUGGUGCCGUGGCUCAAUAGGCUAACCCUCCACCUGCAGUGUCAGCACACCGGGUUCUAGUCCCACUCAGGGUACUGGUUCUGUUCCAGUUGCCCCUCUUCCAGUCCAGCUCUCUACUGUAGCCCGGGAAUGUAGUGGAGGAUGGCCCAAGUGCUUGGGCCCUGCACCCACAUGGGAGACCAGGAGAAGCACCUGGCUCCUGGCUUCAGAUCGGCACAGUACCCUGGCCACAGCGCGCCUGCCGCAGCGGCCAUUGGAUGGUGAACCAACGGUAAAGGAAGACCUUUCUCCCUGUCUCUCUUUCUCACUGUCCACUCUGCCUGUCAAAAAAAAAAAAAUAGACUUUACUCAAAGGAAAUGAAUUAAGCACCUCAUAAAGAUACCUGCACCUCCAUGUUUAUUGCAACAUUAUUCACAAUAGCCAAGAUUUAUAUGCAACCUAAGAAUCCAAUAACUAAAAGAUGGAUAAAGAAAUUCUGAGAGUGGAGAUAAACACACAUGACAUAUUUUGAAAAUUUCACAGAAAAUGGAAUUAAAGAUAAGUGUUUGUCACAAAGUGAAAUCCAUGCAGUUUCUUCAUAAUUUGCAUUUUCCAAAAAUUUUUAAGUGCCUUCAUAGUUAGAGUUACAGAGAUCUUUAAAAAGAAGAACCUUCCUUUUGCAACAACAGCGAUGCAACCACAGGACAUUAUGCUAAUGGAAAUAAGUAUGACACAGAAAGAAAACUAUGUUGUCUCACAUAGAAAGUCUAAUAAUAUUGAAAAUUUAAAAGUUGAAUACAUAGAACAGAAAAUAGAAUGAUAGCUACCAGUGGUGGGUGUGGUAGGAGGAGAGGAUAGAGGUCAACAUAUACAAAGUUGUAGUUAUGGAGGAUGAAGUAGUCUAGAGAACUAAUGUACAUCAUGAGACCCAUGGUUAUGGUUAGUAAUAUUGCAUUGUGUCCUGGAAACUUGCUAAGAGAGCAGAUUUUUGAAUGAUCAUGAAACAAAGCAAAUUACAAAGGAGUAACAGAUUAUGACUAUGUUAGUUACCUAACAUGAGUGUUUGAAAUAAUGAUUUCAUUAUGUAUGACAAGUCUUCAAAAAGUUGAUGGAAAUGCAU